rnacentral:rRNA from 1 species
GCAUGCGGUUUAAUUCGAAGCAACGCGAAGAACCUUACCAGGCCUUGACAUGCAGAGAACUUUCCAGAGAUGGAUUGGUGCCUUCGGGAACUCUGACACAGGUGCUGCAUGCUGUCGUCAGCUCGUGUCGUGAGAUGUUGGGUUAAGUCCCGUAACGAGCGCAACCCUUGUCCUUAGUUACCAGCACGUUAUGGUGGGCACUCUAAGGAGACUGCCGGUGACAAACCGGAGGAAGGUGGGGAUGACGUCAAGUCAUCAUGGCCCUUACGGCCUGGGCUACACACGUGCUACAAUGGUCGGUACAAAGGGUUGCCAAGCCGCGAGGUGGAGCUAAUCCCAUAAAACCGAUCGUAGUCCGGAUCGCAGUCUGCAACUCGACUGCGUGAAGUCGGAAUCGCUAGUAAUCGUGAAUCAGAAUGUCACGGUGAAUACGUUCCCGGGCCUU